GUUGGGCAUGGUGGUGUGUGCCUGUAAUCCCAGCUACUCAGGAGGCUGAGGCAGGAGAAUCACUCGAACCCAGGAGGCGCAGGUUGCAGUGAGCCGAGAUUGGGCCACUGCACUCCAGCCUGGGCAAUAGAGUGAGACUCUGUCUCAA
rnacentral:SRP_RNA from 1 species